GACGAACGCUGGCGGCGUGCUUAACACAUGCAAGUCGAACGGAAAGGCCCUGCUUUUGUGGGGUGCUCGAGUGGCGAACGGGUGAGUAACACGUGAGUAACCUGCCCUUGACUUUGGGAUAACUUCAGGAAACUGGGGCUAAUACCGGAUAGGAGCUCCUGCUGCAUGGUGGGGGUUGGAAAGUUUCGGCGGUUGGGGAUGGACUCGCGGCUUAUCAGCUUGUUGGUGGGGUAGUGGCUUACCAAGGCUUUGACGGGUAGCCGGCCUGAGAGGGUGACCGGCCACAUUGGGACUGAGAUACGGCCCAGAGUCCUACGGGAGGCAGCAGUGGGGAAUCUUGCACAAUGGGCGGAAGCCUGAUGCAGCAACGCAGCGUGCGGGAUGACGGCCUUCGGGUUGUAAACCGCUUUCGCCUGUGACGAAGCGUGAGUGACGGUAAUGGGUAAAGAAGCACCGGCUAACUACGUG
rnacentral:rRNA from 1 species